AUGAAUUAAGAUAUUGAGAUGAGGAGUUCAACUCAUUUUUUUCCACUGACUGAUGUUAAUAAUCCUGUGCCCUUCAAACCCCAAGUUAUCACUGAACAA